GCCGGGCGUGAUGGCUCACGCCUGUAAUCCCAGCACUUUGGGAGGCUGAGACGGGUGGAUCACCUGAGGUCAGGAGUUUGAGACCAGCCUGGCCAACAUGGUGAAACCCCAUCUCUA
rfam:Homo sapiens chromosome 5, GRCh38 reference primary assembly.